AAUGCUCUUGUGUAACGGUUUUUAGUCGCCCUGAGGAAGGCCGAUUUGUGCGGCCGAAAUAUAGGCACCUUUUGUAAACAUGAUCC